rnacentral:rRNA from 1 species
CAGCAGCCACGGUAAUACGAAGGGGGCUAGCGUUGCUCGGAAUUACUGGGCGUAAAGGGAGCGUAGGCGGACAUUUAAGUCAGGGGUGAAAUCCCAGAGCUCAACUCUGGAACUGCCUUUGAUACUGGGUGUCUUGAGUGUGAUAGAGGUAUGUGGAACUCCGAGUGUAGAGGUGAAAUUCGUAGAUAUUCGGAAGAACACCAGUGGCGAAGGCGACAUACUGGAUCAUUACUGACGCUGAGGCUCGAAAGCGUGGGGAGCAAACAGGAUUAGAUACCCGUGUAGUCCCUGUCUCUUAUAC